CUUGACAGAGAUUCUCCCCUGCCCGUCAUCCUACUCUCCCCGUGUUAAUCUUCCAGUUGCUGUGCUGUUGCCGAAGGCAGGAGAUUAACGUUGGUCCUAUUUUUCAAUUGUUGGUGCCAGUUUCUGAGCGAACGGAGUCCUGUUGAGCAAGUCCUCACCCCGCACAAGACUCCUUAGACUGUCUUUUACCAGGUUCAGACUUUGGGGUUUGACAUCAUCCACAACCAUCAAAUUAGCUUUCCCAGAGAUACAAGGGUGGCUCAGCCUACUCAAGUUGAUAAGUGAAAUAAAUCACAGAAGUAGGUUUAAGGACAAAAAUCGCAUGAGCCUCUCAAUAAAUGCAGAGUAGGCCCGUGACAAAACCCAACAUGCCUUCAUGAUAAAAAUCCUAGAGGAAUUUUUGGCCCUAGUGGGAACAUACCUCGCUAUAAUAAAGACCUUGGCAGGCCCGUAGCAAAUUGCAUCUUAAACAGAAAAAAAAAUUGAAGCAAUCUCGUCAAAAUUAGGAACGAGAGGAACUGUUCCCUAUGUUAGCCUCCGGUACCGGCUCUCUUCUUUUUCAAUGUAGCGCUUGAAGCCCUAGCUAGAGCAAUAAGGUAAGGAAACUAAAGGAGCAUAAAUAGAAAAAGUCAAAUUAUCCCUAUUUGCCAAUGAUAUUAUGCAUAUGAGAUUCUAAACACUUUCAGGAGAGUGGAAGGAUACAAAAACAAAUUACAAAACCCAGUAGCUCUUCUCUAUGCCAAUAACAGCAUCCUGCGAAAGAAAUCCUGAAAACCAUCCCAUUCACAACAACCUCAAACACGUAUACAUUCGUACUCAUCCCCAUAAAAAGCCUAACCAAGGGGUUGCGAGACCUCUACAAUGAUGAUUUUACAUCUCUGAGGGAAGACAAUAGAGGAUGGGAAGACCUUCCACGCUCAUGGACUGGUAGAAUUCAGAGUGUGGCAAUGGUCACGCCUAAAAACCAUGUGCGGAUUCAUGACAGUGCAACCACCUGGUAAUCAACCACCGAAAAAUGCAAACGAGAGGACAGAAAGUAUUAUUUACAAACGGGGCUGGAAAACAUUGGAUGUCCACAGGUAGAAGAAUGAGAUUAGAACCUUACCGCUUCCUCUGCACAAAACCAACUCCCACCAGGUCCAAGAUGCCAGUGUGAAACUUCAGUCUCUGGAACCCUGCAGACUCUUGGAGAGCAAUGUUACACAGGAGAAUCCUCAUUCCGCUUAUGGGGAGACUACUGAGGAAAAAGUGCCCGUCCUCCCCGGGCUUCUAAGACACCUUCUAGAGAGGCUAAAAUCACCUUCUAGAGAGGCUAAAAUGACCAUUUUUCUACAGCGUCCAGAUGCAAAGGAUGCUGCCUGACUAUGGUCCAGCCAGG
ensembl:lncRNA